rnacentral:rRNA from 1 species
UACGUAGGGUGCAAGCGUUGUCCGGAAUUAUUGGGCGUAAAGAGCUCGUAGGCGGUCUGUCGCGUCUGCUGUGAAAACUCAGGGCUUAACCCUGAGCUUGCAGUGGGUACGGGCAGACUAGAGUGCGGUAGGGGAGACUGGAAUUCCUGGUGUAGCGGUGGAAUGCGCAGAUAUCAGGAGGAACACCGAUGGCGAAGGCAGAUCUCUGGGCCGUAACUGACGCUGAGGAGCGAAAGCAUGGGGAGCGAACAGG